rnacentral:rRNA from 1 species
AUUGAACGCUGGCGGCAGGCCUAACACAUGCAAGUCGAGCGGAUGAAGGGAGCUUGCUCCUGGAUUCAGCGGCGGACGGGUGAGUAAUGCCUAGGAAUCUGCCUGGUAGUGGGGGAUAACGUCCGGAAACGGGCGCUAAUACCGCAUACGUCCUGAGGGAGAAAGUGGGGGAUCUUCGGACCUCACGCUAUCAGAUGAGCCUAGGUCGGAUUAGCUAGUUGGUGGGGUAAAGGCCUACCAAGGCGACGAUCCGUAACUGGUCUGAGAGGAUGAUCAGUCACACUGGAACUGAGACACGGUCCAGACUCCUACGGGAGGCAGCGGUGGGGAAUAUUGGACAAUGGGCGAAAGCCUGAUCCAGCCAUGCCGCGUGUGUGAAGAAGGUCUUCGGAUUGUAAAGCACUUUAAGUUGGGAGGAAGGGCAGUAAGUUAAUACCGUGCUGUUUUGACGUUACCAACAGAAUAAGCACCGGCUAACUUCGUG